GCCCUGAUGGUCUAGCGGUAUGAUUCUCCCUUAGGGUACAUCUUCGGACUCACCUAUUUGGGAGAGGUCCCAGGUUCGAAUCCUGGUUAGGGCC
rnacentral:tRNA from 1 species